rnacentral:rRNA from 1 species
CAGGCCUAACACAUGCAAGUCGAGCGGAUGACGGGAGCUUGCUCCUUGAUUCAGCGGCGGACGGGUGAGUAAUGCCUAGGAAUCUGCCUGGUAGUGGGGGACAACGUUUCGAAAGGAACGCUAAUACCGCAUACGUCCUACGGGAGAAAGCAGGGGACCUUCGGGCCUUGCGCUAUCAGAUGAGCCUAGGUCGGAUUAGCUUGUUGGUGAGGUAAUGGCUCACCAAGGCGACGAUCCGUAACUGGUCUGAGAGGAUGAUCAGUCACACUGGAACUGAGACACGGUCCAGACUCCUACGGGAGGCAGCAGUGGGGAAUAUUGGACAAUGGGCGAAAGCCUGAUCCAGCCAUGCCGCGUGUGUGAAGAAGGUCUUCGGAUUGUAAAGUACUUUCAGCGAGGAGGAAGGCAUUAAGGUUAAUAACCUUAGUGAUUGACGUUACUCGCAGAAGAAGCACCGGCUAACUCCGUGCCAGCAGCCGCGGUAAU